rnacentral:rRNA from 1 species
GACGAACGCUGGCGGCGUGCUUAACACAUGCAAGUCGAGCGGUAAGGCCUCUUCGGGGGUCCACGAGCGGCGAACGGGUGAGUAACACGUGGGUGACCUGCCCUCAGCUCUGGGAUAAGCCUGGGAAACUGGGUCUAAUACCGGAUAUGACCUUUCCUCGCAUGGGGUUUGGUGGAAAGUUUUUUCGGCUGGGGAUGGGCCCGCGGCCUAUUAGCUUGUUGGUGGGGUGAUGGCCUACCAAGGCGACGAAGGGUAGCCGGCCUGAGAGGGCGACCGGCCACACUGGGACUGAGACACAGCCCAGACUCCUACGGGAGUCAGCAGUGGGCAAUAUUACCCAAUGGGCGUAAGCCUUACGCAGCGACGCCGCGUGGAGUAUUACUGCCUUCGAGUUGUAAACCUCUUCCUACCCCUACGAAUUUGGACGGUACGGGUAGAAGAAGCACCGGCCAACUACGUG